CCCUAACUAGAUAAUUAUGUAUAAUUGAGGAAUUAUAUUAUUAUAUAGUUCAAUAUAUGUGAAAUUAUAUGAAUUUUAAUAUGUUAAGACCCCGUUGGUGAGCUAGGGGCAUUUUAGUAAUUGUGACCCGAGAGGGGUAAAAUGAUGAAAUUAAUUUAAUUACGUGCUUAAUAGAACUAUAUUAUUAUAUAGUAUACCUGUGUUGUCUUUUUAGGUGUGUUCUGACAGGUUGGCGCGGUAUAGUCACAACCGGGUAUUUCGGGCCGAACUGGGUUCGAGCCCGAAAUACAAUUGAAUUGAAUUAAUUGGCAUUUUACUUGAUAUUUGAUAAUCUGAAAUUUAAUUGGGUUUGAAAUUGUGUGUUAAUGCCAUUUUUGCCCUUGUAUGUUUAAAGUGGAAGUUAUAUGGCCCUAAGGGCAUUUUAGUAAUUUGGCUUUAUGAGAUAAGUGUGUGAAAUGGCAUUUUUGACAAAAAAAGAAAAUAGAAAUUCUGGUUAUUCUCUCUCAAACCUGAACCUCUCUUUCUCUCUCUUACUCUCUUGUUUUUCAACUUGAUUUGGUGAGAAAUUGAUGAGAAACUAGUUUGAUUGUUGGGGAAAAAUUUGUGUUAAGGCUUGGAGUUAGCUUGUGCAAGGAAUUGAGGAUUACCGGCACCUGAUCAGGAGCACCCAGGGGUUUGGAAUCUCUGUUAUUGCGGGACAACAGGAAAGGGUAAGUCAGUGGCUGAUCAACCAUGAGUUUGAGGAGCAAGACGAAGAAUGUACAUGUUCAAGCCAUAUCAGACCAAGCGGGUUAAGGGUCUAUCAGUGAUGAACUUUUGAAUUCUAUUUUUCCGUUUAGGUCGGCUAGAAAGAAAUGACUUGUAAUAGCGUUUGUAAAUAUUUUUGGGAUCCCAACUAUUUUAAAAGCUUAAAUAUAUUACAAGUUUAUUUUCAUUCUGUUUAAUAUAAAAGUUUAAAUUCUGCGCUAUUUUGAUUAGUAAUCCCGAUUAGGGGAUUAGAGUUUCAUAAGUAUUUUGGGUAGCGUGCCUGAUUAUUUAGGGCGUUACAAUUUGGUAUCAGAGCGCCAAGGUUUUUAAACUUCCUGUAGACCGGCUGAACAUGUACAUUCGUCGUCAGAGAUAAGCUCGACUCAUGGUGCAGUAAGUAUUGAGAGUAAAUACUUGACUGUAUGUGUGAUCAUCUGUUUACCGCUUUCCAUUUUAGGCAGUAUGCAAGCAUCUAAAGUAUGUAUGUGUUAUGUGAUGCCAUGCUUUAAAUGCUAUUUGAUUAAUAAAUAUUU